rnacentral:rRNA from 1 species
AUGAAGUGCUGGUGCACACAUGCGCCCAAGGGAGCAAUGGCGACGCCGCUCUCCAGCCCUUUCUCCGUCCCCACCCUCCGCGCCCCGCUCUGGCACGGCCGCCUCCACGCGCCUCUCCGAGCAAGCUCCGGCGAUGACGCCGCCGCCGGGCCGGAGACGCCGGCCCCGGUCGCCACCGCCCCCGCCGCCGACGAGGAGUUCGAGAAGCGCGUCCUGCAGCUGAAGUCCCGCGUCGGGCCCAAGAAGCGGGGCAGCGCCGGGGCGCGCAAGAGGAAGGCCGCCGCCGAGUCCAACGCCGUCACGCUGCCGCCGGUGCCGCUGCGGGAGCCGCGGUCCGCCCUCGGCCUGCCCGUGGAGUUCGGCUUCACCGCCUACAGCGAGCGGCUCAACGGCCUGCUGGCCACGGUGGGCCUCACCGCGCUGCUGCUGGUGGAGCUCGGCUCCGGCAAAUCCCUGGUGAAGUACCACCAGGCGCCCACGCUGUUCCUGCAGGUGUACACGAUCGUCGCGGCCGGCACCGUGUACGUCAAGUACGAGAAGGAGCGGAUCAGCGUCUGGCCGGCGCCGGCGCCGCCCAAGGCGCCGACGAGCGGCGAAUGA